rnacentral:lncRNA from 1 species
AUGAGAUGCUGUGAUAAAGAUCCUUCUUCGUUAGUCUCUCUCACAGCUGGGCUUCAUUUAUGUGCCCAUAAACCAGCUCAUCUUUGCAACACAGGAGCGACUCUGAGCUGGGAAACUGAGCUAAACCAAAAAACAGCAAGCUCUUCAUUCAUGAUCUGCAAAGAUGGGAAGCUGCCAAAUGACACUUCCAGGAAGCUUAUCCAUUUACAAAAUGAUCUUCAUGUUGCAGUCAUUUCAACUGAACCAAGGUGGUGUUUUAUUCCAGAAGAAAGUUGUUUCUUUUUAAGUCGAGGCCAGCAAGCAUUGAUAACAAUUCCUGUGGAAGGUUUCAUCUCCCUCCUGAGGCAUUGCGAAGAAUAG